rnacentral:rRNA from 1 species
GACGAACGCUGGCGGCGUGCUUAACACAUGCAAGUCGAACGGAAAGGCCCUGCUUUUGUGGGGUACUCGAGUGGCGAACGGGUGAGUAACACGUGAGUAACCUGCCCUUGACUUUGGGAUAACUUCAGGAAACUGGGGCUAAUACCGGAUAGGAGCUCCUGCUGCAUGGUGGGGGUUGGAAAGUUUCGGCGGUUGGGGAUGGACUCGCGGCUUAUCAGCUUGUUGGUGGGGUAGUGGCUUACCAAGGCUUUGACGGGUAGCCGGCCUGAGAGGGUGACCGGCCACAUUGGGACUGAGAUACGGCCCAGACUCCUAAGGGAGGCAGCAGUGGGGAAUAUUGCACAAUGGGCGGAAGCCUGAUGCAGCAACGCCGCGUGCGGGAUGACGGCCUUCGGGUUGUAAACCGCUUUCGCCUGUGACGAAGCGUGAGUGACGGUAAUGGGUAAAGAAGCACCGGCUAACUACGUG